rnacentral:rRNA from 1 species
AUUGAACGCUGGCGGCAGGCCUAACACAUGCAAGUCGAGCGAGCGGCGGACGGGUGAGUAUAGUAUGUGGAAUGCCCGAUAGAGGGGGAUAACUAUUGGAAAAGGUGGCUAAUACAGCAUAUUGUCGGAUAACGCAAAUGGGAUUAGCUAGUGGGUAUGGUAAUGGCUUACAUAGGCGACGAUCCCUAGCUGUUCUGAGAGGAUGAUCAGCCACACUGGGACUGAGACACGGCCCAGACUCCUACGGAGGCAGCAGUGGGGAAUAUUGCACAAGGGGCGCAAGCCUGAUGCAGCCAUGCCGCGUGUAUGAAGAAGGCCCUCGGGUUGUAAAGUACUUUCAGUCGGGAGGCGUUACCGACAGAAGAAGCACCGGCUAACUCCGUGCCAGCAGCCGCGGUAAUUC